rnacentral:lncRNA from 10 species
GAGAUGCAGUCUUGCUCUGUCCCCCAGGCUGGAGUGCAGUGGCACAAUCUUGGCUCACUGCAACCUCCACCGCCCGGGUUCCAGCGGUUCUCCUGACUCAGCCUCCUGAGUAGCUGGGAUCACAAGCGUGCGCCAUGUUCGGCUAAUUUUUGUAUUUUUAGUAGAGAUGGGGUUUCACCAUGUUGGUCAGGCUGAUCUUGAACUCCUGACCACCCAGGAUCCACUCGCCUCGGCCUCCCAAACUGCUGGAAUUACAGGCGUGAGCCACCGCGCCCAGCCUAAAACGAGAUUUCUAUCUCGUUUUUCAAACUUAUACCACAAAAUUGCCGAGAAAAUCCCAAAAAAGGAAACAAACCCUAGAACAAUAGAAAGUAAGUCUCAACCCAAUUCCAGGCCAAAUCAAUAUUAAUGAGCUUCUUCAUACAAUCCUCUUAAUGAUGAGAAGUUUACAAGAGGUGGAGAAAAAUAACGUGGUUAGAAGCAGUAUUCAUUGAUUUAAGUCUGAAGUUAAAACUUCUCACUUCUUUCUCGAUUGUUACAUAAAUCUCUGGAAAAAUUUAGUACAGUCCCUUCUCCCACACUUUUUUUUGAAAAUUGAUAAUCUCCAUGCAGUUUAAAAUCCAGCCGUAACAAAAUCUGAGAAGUGCCGGCACUUAGAACUUUUCAUUUCAAAGACCUGAAAAUACUCGCCAAUAUGGAACAUCCUAAGCUUCACUGGAACUGUCUCCGUAGCCACUCCAGUUUUAGAGAGCAAGGAGGUCCAGCCACAAUGGUUAAGCAAAUAGCAUAGAGGAGAUGAAGGAAAAACGAAGAGGAAACCACCAGCAACAUCAACAAAAGCUCUCAUAAAACAACGUGGGGGAGGGCAUAUACUCAAAUCAUACAUGGGAAAGGUGUGGUGGGAAUCAUCAAGCAAUUUAGAAUGUUGAGUAAACAGAGUUCUUAGGCUGAAAAACCAACGUGAAGAGGGUUAGGUAUGUAAUUAAAAGAAAGGGGGGAAGCAUAGAGAGGAGGGCCAUUCCUCUCUGUAAGCUGCGAACCCCCUCCUGUCCACAGUCUCAUUUCUUCACCCACUCCACGAAUUCCCCGUUUUCUGCACUGAGUGGUCAGUUUCUGGUAGGCAGACACCUAAUUGCCUCUUCUCUAACCCAGUCCCUCUUGGCAGCGUCUUGGACACAGUAACUCAACAUAGGCAGACAGCAUUCCUGAGCGUCUCGCUACUCCCUGAGCUGCCUUCGUGACGCUUUUUAUACCACAGUGGAAUCGUCUACUUGUCUGACUCCCCGAAGACUGCGCUCCUGGCCCCGAGAGGCGCUUAGUAAACAAGGGUUAUCAAUCAAUCAUUUGUGGACUCGCGUAUCUGCGCCUCCCUUUCUACAAUCCCCCCUUACGCUCCCUUAGGUGAGGACCCCGCAUUAAUCAUCCAUAUCCUCCCCUAUCCUCCUCCGAGUGCUCGACUCCCCUGCAGCCCGGCAAGCUCCCAGAGGAAAGG